UAUUAGGGAGAACGCAGUGGAAAGCAAAUUUCUCGCAGCAGAAGCACAGGAAGCCAGACGCAAGCAGCCAAGCCCACCUAUGACACCCAAUGGGGUGGGGGGCAGACACACCACCCCAGCCUCUUCCCACUGAUUCCUGGGGCCCGGGCUCUGAAGCCACCCGCUGUGUCCUGGUAGCUACAAUGUGACUUUUCGCCAAGUCAUUUAAAAUGAAGCUAUUCCUGACGCACCACGCCCUGGAGAACAUGAGUCCUUGGAAAAGAACUCUCAGAUAGCUCGUGUCCCUCUGUAGAUUAAGGUUGCGUUUUUACUCCUCUGGCCUAAGAGUUUCAGCUGGAAACAACAGGCUUUGCAAACAGUGAUGCAGUUUAAGGGAAAAUUACACUUGAAGAGUUGCCUGAAACCGAAGCGUGGCUUUGUCGCAAUCGUUAGUUUGUAGAAUGAUUUGCACUUAAUCUUCGUCGGGAGCCGUGCAGGAUUUGUCCUGGCAGCGAUGGCCGUGAACUUGCUCCUCAGUUCGGAUGAGCUGGGACGAACCCCGAGUGCGUGCUGGCACCACAGCGCUCGUCACAGCAGGUCCCAUUGUGUCACUCCCGUGGGCCCUGGCACUGGACCACCUGGCUCCCGCCCCGGAGCCCCGUCCGCCGCGGGAGGAGGGGGAGAGCAACCAACUUCCUGGCACGAGGCCUCCGGGACCAAUGGCAACCCCGGGGCGCAGGGCCGCGGGCGGGUCACGGGCGUCGGGGCUUGCUGAGCGGGGAGGGAAGGGGUUUCAGCCGCCAGCACUGCGCCGGCGCGGCGCAGGGCGCCCUCCCGGGUCCCACCUCCCCAGAGCCCUUCCUGGGACAUCAGGUAUCCCCAGUCAGGUCCAACAGCGCAGGUGACAUGUCGCUUGCGUCCUGUACACACGCACCGUUUUCCAAAGGGUUACACGCCCCCCGCCCACGAAGGUGUGGACCCCAAGUCGGACCAUCCGCACAGCGUGGCGCCUCCCCCACCACCCUCGUGCUUUCGUGGCAUUUUACUGAGGAUUUCGGAGCCGAUGAACUCCCUCAGGUGAGGGAGGGAGGACUUCCGGGGGACGAGAGCUCCGGAGUGGACAACGGGACACCGCGGUUCACGGGGCCAGAAGCCCACGCCGCGACCGCCCCCCGGGCGCGCGGUCCCGAGUCCUCCCCCGCUCAAGGCCGCGCCUCUGCUGGUCCCGCUCGGCCAGAGCCAGCCCCGCCGGAUCGACGUCCGUCUGCGCCAAUCAGAGGCCGGCCGGCCUCGGGCCCGCCCCCGCGCACGCGCCGUGGGCGGGGCGUCCGGAAGAGCGCGACCAUGGAGACCCAAGUGUCUGUCAUCCUCCCGGUGCACGACGCCGAGCCCUGGCUGGACGAGUGCCUGCGGUCGGUGCUGCAGCAGGACUUUGAAGGCCCCAUGGAGCUCUCGGUGUUUAACGACGCCAGCAAGGACAAGUCUAUGGCGAUCGUUGAAAAGUGGAAAGUGACGCUGGAAAGUUCUGGGAUCCGUGUGGUCAUUGGAGGGCACGACUCUCCUUCGCCGCGUGGAGGACGACGUGAUGAUGCCGCCCAGAGUGAGGCUGCAGCUGGAGGCCGCCCUGCAGCACCCGGCGAGCAUCAUAGGCUGCCGAGUGAGGAGAGAGCCCCCCAACUCCACGGAACGGUACACGCGCUGGAUCAACCAGCUGACGCCCGACCAGCUUCUCACACAGGUGUUCACCUCCAACGGCCCAACUGUGAUCAUGCCCUCCUGGUUCUGCUCUCGAGCGUGGUUUUCGCACGUGGGCCCCUUCGACGAGGGCGGGCGGGGCGUGCCCGAGGACCUGCUGUUCUUCUACGAGCACCUCCGGAAGGGCGGCGGGGUCGUCCGGGUGGACCAGAGCCUCCUCCUCUACCGCUACCACCCCGGCGCGGCCACGCACGCAGUCCUCGAGACCACCAUCUGGACCCACCGCGUCCACUUCCUGGAGGAACGGGCUCUGCCCCGCUGGGCGACCUUCACCAUCUGGAACGCAGGCAGGCAGGGCCGCCGACUCUACCGCAGCCUCACGGCAGGGGCGCAGCGCAAGGUGGUCGCCUUCUGCGACGUGGACGAGAACAAGAUCAAGAAGGGCUUUUACUGCUACGAGGACUCGCUCGAAAGCCCCAAGCCCCGGGUGCCCAUCCUGCACUUCCGCGCAGCCCGGCCGCCUUUCGUCAUCUGCGUGAAGCUGGACCUGACAGGGGGCGCGUUCGAGGACAACCUGAGGUCGCUGCACCUGCAGGAGGGCCGGGACUUCCUCCACUUCAGCUGACAGACCCGCAGCAGCCGUGGCGUCGAGCAGCCCGAGUCGUGGGGGCCCAGGGAUUCCCGCCGACCUGUCACGCAGACUCAGGUGGGCUCCGGAACCACGGCUGCACAAGGUGUUCGCAGCCACUGGGCCCCCGGUGUGAGCGACUGGUGGCCAGUGGGGCCCGAGGGUGGGCAGCGGCAGCUGGACACUGUCCACUGGCCAGCAGAUCAACUCUGUGUUCCGUGGAUCACACAGUGGGACCAGCGCCGGCAGGCCCUCCCGUCCCCACGGUCUCUUCUGGGGGCUCCUGUUACACGGGGGAUCCUGUUCCUUCUCGAGGGCUGCCUGCUUGGUGUCCUGCAGCCCAGGUCCAGACGCUGCUCAGCAGGCACGGCCGCCCCACCCCCACCGUGCCCUGUGUCCUGUCCCUGGUGCCCAGCAGCGUGGGGCCAUGUGUGCCCACCUCGCACCAGCAUGGCCUCUGCCAGUCGAGGGGUCCCCAGCAAGUCCCGUCUGAAGUGGAAAGCUCCCUGUUUGACACCUGCGUGAGGGACGCACGCUGGAGACUUGAGUGGGCGCUGGUCUGCCCAGGCCCAGCCCCACACACCCGGGGUAAGGGCUUCCUCUGCCAGGGGCUCGAGGCGAUCUGCCACCAGUGGAGCACGCGGACAGGAGACGCUUCCAGCCUGGCCCGGGCUUGGCCCCGGCGGCACACCCACCUGCGGGCAGCGGCGAGGCCCGUGGUGAGGCCACACAGCAGGGCCCACCGCCGCCUCCGCCCACAGACCUGCUGUGGCCGCACCCCACAAGGGCAGGACGCUCCUGCCCAGGCCCAGUCACAGCCACAGCCCUGGGCUGUGGGCCCGAGGACGGCGCGCCGACCCCUUCCCCUCGGCAGUGGGCGGGGGCUCCUGCACCCCACACUCGCCUGACUCAAGCGGCAAACCCUUUACACACACCAGCCGCACUGGCUCGCGGACACUCAGUGUGAGCUGGUGCCGCGCAAGUUAGAAAAGGGCAGCUUUUCCAGAGUCACACACGCAAGCUGUGGCACUUCCCAUGUCACCCGAACCCACAUCCUGGGACGCUGCAUCCGGGUCACCCCUGGCAGCAGAUGCCUGUAAGGCUGCCCCCCGACACCCGCCUUCCAGCCGGGUCUGGCGCUGCCGUCACAGGCCCUCGAGUGGCUGAAGGUGGCCUCGGGCAGGACUCAACAUACUCGGCCGUGGCCUUCUCUGGUUGUCAAAGCUGCAUGAGGGAGGCGUGUUAGGAAAAGCCGCCUCCAUGGUGACAGACUACGAGUCCCUCAGCAGAUGGACCGGCCGACGGCCAAGGCGCUGUGUCCAGGUUUCCUGUGCUCGUCCCACCUGCCUGCUCCUCCGUCGGACGGGCGCAC